rnacentral:rRNA from 1 species
UACAGAGGGUGCGAGCGUUAAUCGGAAUUACUGGGCGUAAAGGGCGCGUAGGCGGUCAUUUAAGUUAGAUGUGAAAUCCCUGGGCUUAACCUAGGAACUGCAUCUGAUACUGGGUGACUGGAGUAUUGUAGAGGGUAGUGGAAUUUCCGGUGUAGCGGUGAAAUGCGUAGAGAUCGGAAGGAACACCAGUGGCGAAGGCGGCUACCUGGACAAAUACUGACGCUGAGGCGCGAGAGCGUGGGGAGCAAACAGG